UACGGGGGGGGCAAGCGUUGUUCGGAAUUACUGGGCGUAAAGGGCUCGUAGGCGGCCAACUAAGUCAGACGUGAAAUCCCUCGGCUUAACCGGGGAACUGCGUCUGAUACUGGAUGGCUUGAGUUCGGGAGAGGGAUGCGGAAUUCCUGGUGUAGCGGUGAAAUGCGCAGAUAUCAGGAAGAACACCUAUGGCGAAGGCAGCUCUCUGGGACGGUACUGACGCUGAGACGCGAAAGCGUGGGGAGCGAACAGG
rnacentral:rRNA from 1 species